UCACGGCGACUGCAUCAGCCUCCUGGUCCUCCAUGUGAGAGGAGGACGAAGAGGAUUCUUCUUCAGGGCCUGAAAUGAGACACACAGGAAAACAUCAGCCGAGCCUCCUUCAAAGUUCACGAAAUGCUGCUAACUAGUUCCCUUUUUGGAGCUUGCCUCUCCCUCCCUCUCUCUCUCUCGCUCUCUCUCACUCUCUCUCCUCAGGAAUCAGCACCACCUUGGCUGCGCACCUGUCAUCAAUCAGCACUCAUCACUGCCUGCAUAUAAGCCUGCCAGAUCCAAGAGUCCAUAGCCAGAGUCAAUAGACACUUCAUUGUGUGCCUCCCGAUUCACUGCCGCUCCAACCACGUUGUCAAGCUCUUCUACCACCUCAUGUUCCCGCUUCCUGCACAGUCCUUGUUUCUACGGACCACGAUCCCGCCUUGGACACCCGAACGCUAAGCUACUGGCAAAUAAACCACUCAUCUACUC